AUUGAACGCUGGCGGCAUGCCUUACACAUGCAAGUCGAACGGCAGCGCGGGGCAACCUGGCGGCGAGUGGCGAACGGGUGAGUAAUAUAUCGGAACGUGCCCUGGAGUGGGGGAUAACGUAGCGAAAGUUACGCUAAUACCGCAUACGAUCCAAGGAUGAAAGCAGGGGACCUUCGGGCCUUGUGCUCCUGGAGCGGCCGAUAUCUGAUUAGCUAGUUGGUGGGGUAAAAGCCUACCAAGGCGACGAUCAGUAGCUGGUCUGAGAGGACGACCAGCCACACUGGAACUGAGACACGGUCCAGACUCCUACGGGAGGCAGCAGUGGGGAAUUUUGGACAAUGGGGGGCAACCCUGAUCCAGCAAUGCCGCGUGUGUGAAGAAGGCC
rnacentral:rRNA from 1 species